CACCUGGUGGGUGCAGGAAUGGGGCGGGGCGCUGCGAGCCGGGGCUUCGGGGGCGGCUUGUCAAGUUCACGGCAGUUGCGGGUGCACGUGGUCUGUCAGUCUCAGCCCCAAGACUCUGGGAGUAGCAAAACAUGGUCCUCCAGUUUCUACCGGGCGGGACUGCAGCUCCCUUAACCUGCGGGGUCCUUAUCCUGACCGAGAAGAUAUGAUUCUGAUAGUCAUCUUACCUGGCCCCCCUCCCACCCCAGGAGGAAGUGACUCAGGACCUGAACCCGGGGACUUGAAUGAAUAUUUCAGGUUUCAUCUCCAGCACCACACCCCACUGGGGCACUCUGCCUGCUCUCUCUGGGAAUCGGCAAAGUAAAUCUAAGUACAUAUGAAAUAACAUCUGUCUUUCAUCAGCUGUGGCCUUUCCCUCUGGUUUCUGAAUAGCUCGGACGUCCCACAAACUCAGGUCUGAGCAAAGUGAAUCCUUUGGCCUGAAUCGGCAACCUUAAAGUCCAAACCCUGAGUCGCUCAAAGUGGCUUCACCUGAGCCACAAAUCCAGACGGGAUCAUUGAACUGCUGCCCUUUCAUGACUGGCAUGGCUUGGGCACAGAGUUGCUUCCAAGACCAAAAGAAGAUGACAACACUAUGGUGAACGGGGCUCUCUUUGGAAGACCAGCUGUGGGUAUUUUUCAUUACUUUUAUAAACUGAAAAAAAUAUAAAAAGGGAUUGCUAAUUAAAAGUGAGCAUGUUAACAUUCACAUAUGUGCCUUCUGCUUGUUUGAUUAUCUGUCCUGUCUUGAGGGACCCAGAGGAAGACAGGAGGCUUCUUGUUCAGCACACAAUGAUGCCACUGCAAACAGCACCCGCUCUCUCAUGGAGAGACUGCUCUGAAUUUCUGAAGAAGGCUUCCCUACUGCAGUGUCAUCACCGCCCCUGUCCUGCCUCCUCAGUUUAGACACCAGUCUGUGAAGUCUCAUCAGUGGGAAAGCAGUCCCUUCUUGAGUGGGGAGAAGUCUCUGCCUUUGGAAACAUUUCUCAUAUUAAGAAUAGCGGGGUGGUCUGGGAGGUGGUGGUACAGUGGAUAAAGCAUUGGACUCUCAAGUAUGAGGUCUCAAGUUCAAUCCCUGGUAGCACAUGUAUCAGAGUAAUGUCUGGUUCUUUCUCUCUCUCCUCUUAACUUUCUCAUUAAUAAAUAAAAUAAAAUAAAAUAAAAAGUAAGGGGAAAGCUUUGUGAGUGGUGAAGCAGGGCUGCAGGUGUCUCUCUGUCUCCCUUUCUAUUUCCUCCCCUCUCAAUUUCUCUCUGUCUCUAUCCAAUAAUAAGUAAAGAAAAAUAUGGGGAAAAAAGUAGGGAAUUAGAACAUGCUCCCCAAUAAUGGUAGAAAAAAGCCUUUAGAGAGUCGGGUGGUAGCUCAGCGGGUUAAGUGCAGGUGGCACGAAGCGCAAGGACCGGCUUAAGGAUCCCGGUUCACGCCUCCGUCCCCACCUGCAGGGGAGUCGCUUCACAGGUGGUAAAGCAGGUCUGCAGGUGUCUUUCUCUCCUCCUCUCUAUCUUCCCUUCCUCUCUCCAUUUCUCUCUGUCCUAUCCAACAAUGACGCUGACGAUAUCAAUAACAACAACAAUAAUAACUACAACAAUAAAAAAAAAAAAGAAGCCUUUAGUCAACUGUCACUAUAUCAGAGCACUACAAACAAUGGGUCACCAGGCUGCUUGUACAAAACCAGGGUUGCAUAAGAAGAGAGGAAUGGCGUGACUUGUCGGUCCGCCCCAGUGUCCACAUGUAUCACACUGAGUGUGUCCUU